GUUAAUCGGAAUUACUGGGCGUAAAGCGCACGCAGGCGGUCUGUUAAGUCAGAUGUGAAAUCCCCGGGCUUAACCUGGGAACUGCAUUUGAAACUGGCAGGCUUGAGUCUCGUAGAGGGGGGUAGAAUUCCAGGUGUAGCGGUGAAAUGCGUAGAGAUCUGGAGGAAUACCGGUGGCGAAGGCGGCCCCCUGGACGAAGACUGACGCUCAGGUGCGAAAGCGUGGGGAGCAAACAGGAUUAGAUACCCUGGUAGUCCACGCCGUAAACGAUGUCGACUUGGAGGUUGUUCCCUUGAGGAGUGGCUUCCGGAGCUAACGCGUUAAGUCGACCGCCUGGGGAGUACGGCCGCAAGGUUAAAACUCAAAGGAA
rnacentral:rRNA from 1 species